CGGCGGACGGGUGAGUAAUGUAUGGGGAUCUGCCUGAUGGCGGGGGAUAACUACUGGAAACGGUAGCUAAUACCGCAUAAUGUCUACGGACCAAAGCGGGGGACCUCCGGGCCUCGCGCCAUCAGAUGAACCCAUAUGGGAUUAGCUUGUAGGUAAGGUAACGGCUUACCUAGGCGACGAUCCCUGGCUGGUCUGAGAGGAUGGUCAGCCACACUGGGACUGAGACACGGCCCAG
rnacentral:rRNA from 1 species